AAUACCUGAGACUCAGAUGUUUGAUUUCGCAGCUACAUAUGUUCCGUUGUUCACUUUUCCACGCGUUUGCCCUAAUGGCUUCUAGUAAACCCAAAUUUAUGGCACUUAUUUGGAGACAUAUGGACGAUUUAAUAUAGCACCUGACAAUAGUUACUAGAUGUUAGGGAACAAUCAUAGCACUAGUUACAUCACCUGGGUGCAGAUGUGCAGUGUAGAAGAUAAAUAAUAUAUGCUUUGUAUCAGCAUAAGAAAUGAUAUUUUUCAACCUGUUGAAUCUGCACUUGCAUAAAAGCAAUUAUAUAAGAAAAGCUGAUGUAUCAUCUUACCAUCAUAUAACUAUUCUUUUACUCAUUUUUUCGUAGAAUAGUCAGAUAAAAGGGAAAGGAACACAGAAUGCUAGCUGAGUAUUUUAUCCAACAUAUGAUAAAUCUUAACACUUUUGAUUCCACAGUCGUAGUUCAGUAUUUCGCUAGGUGAAGGAUAGGAUAUUACAAACGGAUUUAUUUUAUCUCUAAUGCUUACUAGCAAUAUUCUUCUCAGAGAAAAAAAUGAAAAUAAGAAAGUGAUGGUAUGCCCUUAAGAAUAGCUUGCCAAGUAUGAGAGUCGUUCCAUUUUUUCAUCGCAGCCAUAUAAGAUUGUGUUUACCACAAAGAGAACGAGCACAUAAGGGCUCAGUUUUGGCGUUCCUAACUUGGGCAAACUCGCGAAGAUUAGCCUGUGUUGCCUAAUUCUACAGAAGAACGGGUGCCUGGUUCCACCACCCAAAGCUGAUAAGAGAAUGGCCGCGUGCAAGUUCAUUCUUCUGUCAUUGGGGCUACUUGCUGGAUAUAUGGCGUCCAAGGAUCAUAGCAAGCUUGCUUUUAUGCUCAAGGUCUGUGACAGUAGCAUGAAGAUCUACAAGGUCUUUGCUGAGAUCGUCGACAUCUUAUAUGCACUCUUCAAGUAGUUGCUACUGCUUUAUCUGAUGUGAGAGGACCUUAUUUGGACAACCUAUGCGAGACGGGCAGUUUUGUUAGCUUCUCUAGGUCAUUUCUAUUGACAUCACAGUCGGCUGAUUUGUAUCAUAUGGAUCGAAGAUUGACAUUCCGGCCACAUCUGCAACUCGUUGCUGCUUUGUAUUAGGUCCUUAUUUGGACAACGUAUGUGAGACGGACAGUUUUGUUAGCUUCUCUAGGUCAUUUCUAUUGACAUCAGUCGGAUGAUUUGUAUCAUAUGGAUCGAAGAUUGACAUUCCGGCCACAUCUGCUACAGUUGCUGCUUUGUUAUUAGGACGUGGAGUGCAAGUA